AAAUGUAUUUAUUUCUUGUCAAAUUCAAAUAAAUGGCUUCGCCUUUGAAUGAGCACCAUUAAAAAUUAAUGGAAUGCAGCGCCAGAGUACAAGCAGGUCCCAGAUACUCGUAGAUACAUACAUCCAACAGAAGAGCAUACUCUUCGAAUGAAACGCCGAGAGGAAAAUAAAUAUUCUAUGAGCAAUCCGCCUAGCAUCCAUCAACGGGAAGCCUUGACUUAAGUGCCAAUAUAGCGGACAGUAAAAGCAGGAACAGAUUAGGUUAGAGCUGAGACGGAGCUCCGCGAAAGUUAAUUCAGUCUACCAGUACUUCUGGGCACACGGUAGCGCUCCGAGAGUGGGCAGUAUUUGGGAUGAUAAAAGUUCCCAAAACUUUUGACCUCCGCGUCAGUGGGAUGCGCCCACUUAACCCAAUUUGACUGUCACUGCAAUUUGCUUUUGAUCUGCGAGGAGGACCAAAAGCGCUGCCUGGAAACGCUUUGGGACAGGGCAACGCUCUGGGAACCGAUGCUGGGAACCGAAGCGGGCCAGACACGAGUAAGCAACUGUCAUCGGGUGUUCCCAAGUCAAUGGCGUAGAAGAAAUUGAUUUGUUUUGAUUUAUCCCCAUGAACUUUGCCUUCUGUUCCACACCACACCACACCCAGUUGCCAUUGCUAGUCAGCCGUCGCUGCCUUUGCGUCCCCUUACUAGUGGUCCCGCUUGCCACUUUGCUGUCUUCGUUGCCCUCUAAGCAAAUUCGUCUGAUUGCUCCACGGACUGCUGCUGCUCCUGUCGUCCUCCUCCCAGCACCGUCCAUUCCUGGCCUGGCCUUCCACUGUCGCCGUGCUCAGGAUGCGUUGCUUCCAUAUUUUAUUGACCCAUUUUGUUCCGAACAAUAAAUGGCAAUUCUCGUCUGUUGACACAGUGGGGCUGGUCCCUGCCCCUGCCCCUGCCCCUGCCCCAUCCUCCAUCCAUUUCAGCCAAUAAAACUUGAUAUGUCACUGAUAUGACCGGCGCUCGCCCAAUUCUGUUCAGUGACCAAAUAAAU